AGUUUGACUGGGGCGGUCUCCUCCUAAAGAGUAACGGAGGAGCACGAAGGUUGGCUAAUCCUGGUCGGACAUCAGGAGGUUAGUGCAAUGGCAUAAGCCAGCUUGACUGCGAGCGUGACGGCGCGAGCAGGUGCGAAAGCAGGUCAUAGUGAUCCGGUGGUUCUGAAUGGAAGGGCCAUCGCUCAACGGAUAAAAGGUACUCCGGGGAUAACAGGCUGAUACCGCCCAAGAGUUCAUAUCGACGGCGGUGUUUGGCACCUCGAUGUCGGCUCAUCACAUCCUGGGGCUGAAGUAGGUCCCAAGGGUAUGGCUGUUCGCCAUUUAAAGUGGUACGCGAGCUGGGUUUAGAACGUCGUGAGACAGUUCGGUCCCUAUCUGCCGUGGGCGCUGGAGAAUUGAGGGGGGCUGCUCCUAGUACGAGAGGACCGGAGUGGACGCAUCACUGGUGUUCGGGUUGUCAUGCCAAUGGCAUUGCCCGGUAGCUACAUGCGGAAGAGAUAAGUGCUGAAAGCAUCUAAGCACGAAACUUGCCCCGAGAUGAGUUCUCCCUGAGACUU
rnacentral:rRNA from 1 species